rnacentral:rRNA from 1 species
CUUCGGGGGUACACGAGUGGCGCACGGGUGCGUAACACGUAUGCAACCUACCCUUCAGCGGGGGAUAGUCGCGGGAAACUGCGAAUAAUACCCCAUACGAUCUUGGUUUGGCAUCGGACUAAGAUGAAAGUUCCGGCGCUGAAGGAUGGGCAUGCGUCCCAUUAGCUAGUUGGUGAGGUAACGGCUCACCAAGGCGACGAUGGGUAGCUGGUCUGAGAGGAUGAUCAGCCACAUGGGCACUGAGACACGGGCCCAACUCCUACGGGAGGCAGCAGUGAGGAAUCUUGGUCAAUGGGGGCAACCCUGAACCAGCCAUGCCGCGUGGAGGAAGACGGCCCUCUGGGUUGUAAACUCCUUUAGCUAGGGGCUAAGGCAGUGCUACAGGCAUUGUUGCAGGUACCUAGAGAAUAAGCGCCGGCUGACUACGUGCCAGCAGCCGCGGUAAUACGUAGGGCGCAAGCGUUGUCCGGAUUUAUUGGGUUUAAAGGGUGCGUAGGCGGAUAUGUAAGUUCGUGGUGAAAUCGUCCGGCUUAACCGGAUACCCGCCAUGGAUACUGUGUAUCUUGAGUGUGGAUGAGGAAGUUAGAAUGCGUGGUGUAGCGGUGAAAUGCAUAGAUAUCACGCAGAAUACCGAUUGCGAAGGCAGACUUCUGGUCCAUAACUGACGCUGAGGCACGAAAGCGUGGGUAGCGAACAGGAUUAGAUACCCUGGUAGUCCACGCUGUAAACGAUGAUCACUAGGUGUUCGGCCGAUAUGGUUGAGUGCCCAAGCGAAAGCGAUAAGUGA